ACUACGGGCGGCAGCAGUGGGGAAUAUUGGGCAAUGGGCGCAAGCCUGACCCAGCAACGCCGCGUGAAGGAAGAAGGCUUUCGGGUUGUAAACUUCUUUUGUCAGGGACGAAGCAAGUGACGGUACCUGACGAAUAAGCCACGGCUAACUACGUGCCAGCAGCCGCGGUAAUACGUAGGUGGCAAGCGUUAUCCGGAUUUACUGGGUGUAAAGGGCGUGUAGGCGGGGAAGCAAGUCAGAUGUGAAAACCACGGGCUCAACCUGUGGCCUGCAUUUGAAACUGUUUUUCUUGAGUGCUGGAGAGGCAAUCGGAAUUCCGGGUGUAGCGGUGAAAUGCGUAGAUAUACGGAGGAACACCAGUGGCGAAGGCGGAUUGCUGGACAGUAACUGACGCUGAGGCGCGAAAGCGUGGGGAGCAAACAGGAUUAGAUACCCGUGUAGUG
rnacentral:rRNA from 1 species